ensembl:lncRNA
GUAACAGAUGCAGACGGUGCCAGACAACUGUCUGGGUUCAUGUAAAGUCAGAGGGGGAAUUACACAAAGGGGGAUAACAGGGAAUCUCGGGAAACCCUCCCACCAGAGAGGCCUCCAUCAUUCUAUGACUCCACAAACUCUCUCUCCCCACCCGCUCCCGCCCCCAGCUGGGAGGAUACUCCAUUGCGAACAAAGCCAUAGGAAUACAGAAAUGCUCAUUUCAUUCAGCAUCAGCCAUUGAGAUCUUACAGAUAAAGGUAUUGAAUUCUGCAAAAUGGUUUUCUUUGCUAUGAUUUCUUUGCUAUGUUUUCAUCUGCUUAGAAGGAUGAAAAACUCACCACUUUCCUUCCCUUUCAGAUUUUAAUGGAUUAAUUCAAAAACUCAAUCUGAAAAUGAGCUUUCAAAUUUAAACCUGAACCUCUACAAAAGAAAGAGGAUAGGGCCAGAGGAAGACAGACCUGGGAGAGGAGAGACCUUCCCACUCCCAGUAUUCUCCCAAAUUCUGUUCACUGGCACUCCUUUUUCUUUUCAUUCAAUUUUCGUUUCUAAUUUUUAUGGCUACAUAGUAGAUGUCUAUAUUUACGGGGUACAUGAGAUGUUUUGAUACAGGCAUGCAAUGUGUAAUAAUCACAUCAUGGAGAAUGGGGUAUCCAUCCCCUCAAGCAUUUAUCCUUUGUGUUAUAAACAAUCAAAUUAUACUCUUAGUUAUUUUGAAAUGUGCGAUGAAAUAUUAUUGACUAUAGUCACCUCAUUGUGCUGCUAAAUCAUAGGCCUUAUUCAUUGUUUCUAACUAAUUUUUUUUGUAUGCAUGGCACUCCUUUCUCUGAAAAAGCACAUCGGUUAGUUACAGAUGACGAAAUUACGGAAGUGAUUAAGACAUAAUGACCAACAGUCCUUUUCAAAUUGGGGCAGAAGUAGAAGAAAGAAGGAGGUGGGAACGCCUCAGGUUUGUUGCUGCUGACUCUACAGUUGCUUUAUUGUGUGAACUCAAGAAUAAUGAGAAAGGACAGUUGGGGGAAAAUGUAACAAAUUGGAAAAUAAUAAGAUCUAAUGCAUUAUGAAGUGCUUGCUCAAUGCCAGCAGUCAGCUAAGCACUCCAUACUUACUAACUCAUUUACUUCUCACGAUUCUGUGAGACUGGGAGGAUUAUUAACCACACUUUACAUGAGGAAAUGAAGCACAGAGAGGUCAAGUAACCUAUAAAAGACACACAGCUAGCAGGCUUAUCUGGCUCCAGUGUAUGCAUUUGGCAGUGUGGCUCUAGAAUCUGGUUUUGUUUGUUAACCACUAGCCAGCAUCGCCUCUUUAUAUUUUAGCAUGUAUUCCACAAGAAAUUAUCGAGCUGCAUAUGCAUAGUAGGACGAAGAGGAAAAUUAGCAGGGAGAUUCAAGAAAGUUAAAAUAGGAAGUAGCUAAGGUAAGAAGCGCCACCAAUUUAAGGACUGAGAGUCUGGUGGCAGAUUGUCCAGGGCUGCCCAUUCAGAUACUCAGGAAACAACCUGGAGGCACAGCUUUCAAGUUCUUACUUCUUCCGAGCUGAAAACAACAUGGUGCAUCCCCAGCAAGUCUCCUUUGGGAAAUCACCCAUCUGCAUAGGGUGGCCUGUCCUGCUCCAGGCUGCCUAAGUCACAGUCCUUCAGCUCAGGAAAGGGACGAUCUCAGAGCUUGCCUGUUCCCACCCUGCCUUCAGCUUUUGCUAUUGGAUCAUUUCUUCCAGAGCAGCACCCACAUCAGAAUCAGAGCUGAGCCACUCGGUUUCUCUUUCCACCUUUCUUAUUUUUUCUCUCCUGGGAAUAAAUGUCCCUUUCACUUCAUGGAACAACCAACCAUCAGCUUUGGAAAGGGCCUUAGUGAUGAUCCAGUUAGGGGU